GAUGAAGAACGUAGCGAAAUGCGAUAAGUAGUGUGAAUUGCAGAAUUCAGUGAAUCAUCGAAUCUUUGAACGCACACUGCGCCCCUCGGUAUUCCGUGGGGCAUGCCUGUUCGAGCGUCAUCUACACCCUCAAGCUCUGCUUGGUGUUGGGCGUCUGUCCCGCCUCCGCGCGUGGACUCGCCCCAAAUUCAUUGGCAGCGGUCCUUGCCUCCUCUCGCGCAGCACAUUGCGCUUCUCGAGGGGCUACGGCUCGCGUCCAACAAGCACAUUUACCGUCUUUGACCUCGGAUCAGGUAGGGAUACCCGCUGAACUUAAGCAUAUCAAUAAGCGGAGGA
rnacentral:misc_RNA from 1 species